GUGCCAGCCGCCGCGGUAACACCGGCGGCCCGAGUGGUAACCGAUUUUAUUGGGUUUAAAGUUUCCGUAUCCGGCCUAUUAAGUCUCUUUGGAAAUCUUUCGGCUUAGUCGUCAGACGUUCAAUAUAUACUGAUGGGCUUUGGACCGGUAGAGGUGGGAGGUACUCCAGGGGUAGAGGUGAAAUUUUGUAAUCCUUGGGGGACCAUCGAUGGCGAAGGCAUCCCACUAGAACGGGUCCGACGGUGAGGGACGAAAGCUGGGGGCACGAACCGGAUUAGAUACCCGGGUAGUCCCAGCCGUA
rnacentral:rRNA from 1 species